rnacentral:rRNA from 1 species
GGGUUAAGUCCCCGCAACGAGCGCAACCCCCGCCGUUAGUUGCCAGCGGUUCGGCCGGGCACUCUAACGGGGACUGCCCGCGAAAGCGGGAGGAAGGAGGGGACGACGUCUGGUCUGCAUGGCCCUUACGGCCUGGGCGACACACGUGCUACAAUGCCCACUACAAAGCGAUGCCACCCGGCAACGGGGAGCUAAUCGCAAAAAGGUGGGCCCAGUUCGGAUUGGGGUCUGCAACCCGACCCCAUGAAGCCGGAAUCGCUAGUAAUCGCGGAUCAGCCAUGCCGCGGUGAAUACGUUCCCGGGCCUU